AAAGAUUAAGCCAUGCAUGUCUAAGUAUGAACUAUCUAUUGUGAAACCGCGAAUGGCUCAUUACAACAGCCAUAGUUUACUGGAUAUAUUCCAUUACAUGGAUAACUGUGGUAAUUCUACAGCUAAUACACGCAUCAAAAGCCCGACUAUGGGAGGGCUGCGUUAGUUACUUCAAACUGAUCAGUCUUCGGACUGCAUUCAAGUGAGAUUGAACUAUUUAGCUGAUCGCACGGUCUAAGAACCGGCGACAUAUCCUUCAAAUGUCUGCCUUAUCAACUGUCGAUGGUAGAUUAUGCGCCUACCAUGGUUGUAACGGGUAACGGAGAAUCAGGGUUUGAUUCCGGAGAGGGAGCCUGAGAAAUGGCUACCACAUCCAAGGAAGGCAGCAGGCACGCAAAUUACCCAUUCCCGGCACGGGGAGGUAGUGACGAAAAAUAACAAGCUGGUCUCUUUGAGUUCCGGCAUUGUAAUGGGAACAACUUAAAUCAUUUAUCGAGGAUCUAUUGGAGGGCAAGUCUGGUGCCAGCAGCCGCGGUAAUUCCAGCUCCAAUAGCGCAUAUUAAAGUUGUUGCGGUUAAAAAGCUCGUAGUUGGAUCUACGAUCCAGGCCAGUGGUCGCCCUUCUCGGGUGCACUGCUCGGACUGAUCGACAUAUCUGGUGAACGAUUGUUGCUCUUCAUUGAGUGACUCUAGUUGCUGGAACGUUUACCUUGAAAAAAUUGAAGUGCUCAAAGCAGGCAUAUGCCUGAACAUCGCUGCAUGGGAUAAUUGAAUAGGACUUCGGUUCUAUUUUGUUGGUUUCGGAACGCGGAGUAAUGAUUAAUAGGGACAGACGGGGGCAUUCGUAUUGCUGCGUUAGAGGUGAAAUUCUUGGAUCGUAGCAAGACGACCUACUGCGAAAGCAUUUGCCAAGAAUGUUUUCAUUAAUCAAGAACGAAAGUUAGAGGUUCGAAGGCGAUCAGAUACCGCCCUAGUUCUAACCGUAAACGAUGUUAACUAGCGACUCGCAGGUGUUACUUUAACGGCCCUGCGAGGAGCUCCCGGGAAACCUAAGUGUUCGAAUUCCGGGGGAAGUAUGGUUGCAAAGCUGAAACUUAAAGGAAUUGACGGAAGGGCACCACCAGGAGUGGAGCUUGCGGCUUAAUUUGACUCAACGCGGGGAAACUCACUUGGUCAGGACACUGUUAGGAUUGACAGAUUGAAAGCUCUUUCUUGAUUCGGUGGAUGGUGGUGCAUGGCCGUUCUUAGUUGGUGGAGUGAUUUGUCUGGUUAAUUCCGAUAACGAGCGAGA
rnacentral:rRNA from 1 species